rnacentral:lncRNA from 1 species
UUCGGAGGUCAGAGCUCGGCGGGGUGCGGCUAGUGGCGGAGCGCGCUGCGAGGGGAGGGCUUUCCACUGUCGCUGGCGUGAACUCGCGUGCCCGGUGGGUAUCAGGGAAGAACCCCCGCCCCGGACCCCCAGAUCUGCCAUGGCCGAGGUAGCGAUCGUCUCUGCGGCCACGAAGACUGUUUUAACUUGUACCACUUUCCCUUCCAUUUUUCCUGGGGUGCCUCUCACCCUGCAUCUGCGCGUUCAGCAAGCUGGAUUUCGGGAAUGCUCAGUUCAGAAGAGAAAAAAUUGCCGGGAAUCAAGUCCUUCUUUUUGUUAGUCGGUAGUCGAUUGAUGGGAAGUGUUCAAAAUCAUUCGAUGUGGUGACAAGGCUUCACCAGGUACUGCCUUCUAACGAGCUGGCCAUUUCCACAUGUCAGAUAGGACCAACUUGCCUUUUAACUACCCGUGUGAUACUUAAACACUGUUGCCGGUAUCACAGCUUUUCUUCAAAACAGGAAGCAACGAGAAUGAGGGCAUUCCAGUAGC